rnacentral:rRNA from 1 species
CCUACGGGAGGCAGCAGUGGGGAAUAUUGGACAAUGGGCGAAAGCCUGAUCCAGCCAUGCCGCGUGUGUGAAGAAGGCCUUCGGGUUGUAAAGCACUUUCAGUGGGGAAGAAAGCCUUGGGGCUAAUACCCUCGAGGAAGGACAUCACCCACAGAAGAAGCACCGGCUAACUCCGUGCCAGCAGCCGCGGUAAUACGGAGGGUGCGAGCGUUAAUCGGAAUUACUGGGCGUAAAGCGCGCGUAGGCGGUCUGAUAAGCCGGUUGUGAAAGCCCCGGGCUCAACCUGGGAACGGCAUCCGGAACUGGCAGGCUAGAGGGCAGGAGAGGAAGGUAAAAUUCCCGGUGUAGCGGGGAAAUGCGUAGAGAUCGGGAGGAAUACCAGUGGCGAAGGCGGCCUUCUGGACUGACACUGACGCUGAGGUGCGAAAGCGUGGGUAGCAAACAGGAUUAGAUACCCCAGUAGUC